rnacentral:lncRNA from 1 species
AUUUUAGGGCCGCACCCGCGGCAAAUGGAAGUUCCAAGGACAGGGGUUCCAAGCCGAGCUACAGCUGCCGGCCUACCCACAGUCACAGCAACUCGGGAUCAGAGCCGCCUUUGACCUACACCACAGCUUAAGGCAACGCUGGAUCCCUGACCCACUGAAGGAGGCCAGGCAUCAAACCCCGCAUCCUCAUGAACACGGGUCGUAUUCGUUUCUCCUUCACAAGGGGAGCUCCCACACUUUCUAAUUCUUAAAACUUGCAGCAAGGGAAGCCAAACGUGAGAGCUAUGCGCCACCUGGGGACACUUCCUCAGGGAAGUUACCUAACUUCUGUGAACCUGUUUCUUUAUCUUUACAAAAGGGGGAAUAACACCGUACCAAAGUACUGUUGAGAGAGUUGAAUAAUUAGUCCUAUGGGCAAGUGCCUUGCUUAGAGUUGUCCUGCAAUAAAUAAAUCUCUUUGGUAAGCAGUGGAAGAACAUAAGCUUUAUAGUAAAACAGAUCGAGUUUGAUUCCUGACCCUGCCAACUUUCAGCAGUGUGAUCCUGGGCAAGUUACUUUUGCAUCUUUUUUCCCCCUUUCUUUUCUUUUUACAGCGGCACCUGCUUAUGGAAGUUCCCCAGGCUUGGGGUCAAAUUGGAGUGGCAGCUGCAGGCCUUCGCCACAGCCGCAGCAAGGCUGGAUCCGAGCUGCAUCUUGGACCUAAGCCACAGUUUGUGGCAAUGCAAGAUCCUUAACUCAAUGAGCAAGGAAUUGAAUCUACAUCUUCAUGGACACUAUGUUGUGUUCUUAACCCACUGAACCACAACAGGAACUCCUACUUUUGCAUCUUAGUUUUAUUAUUUGCUUAAAGGACAUGAUAUUGGCUUACACCUCACUUAAGAAUGCGCAGUGCCGGAGUUCCCGUCGUGGCGCAGUGGUUAACGAAUCCGACGAGGAACCAUGAGGUUGCGGGUUUGGUCCCUUCCCUUGCUCAGUGGGUUAACGAUCCGGCGUUGCUGUGGCUCUGGCGUAGGCCGGUGGCUACAGCUCCGAUUCAACCCCUAGCCUGGGAACCUCCAUAUGCCGCGGGAGCGGCCCAAGAAAUAGCAACAACAACAACAAAAGACAAAAAAAAAAAAAAAAAAAGAAUGCGCAGGAUUGGAGUAGGAUGGGCCCCUGGGCUGAGAACAGCUGGGACUUAUGAGGCUGAGUAAAUUGGGCUUUGCUUCUCUCUCUUUUUUUUUUCUUUUCCUUGAGCUGCUCCCGUGGCAUAUGGAGGUUCCCAGGCUAGGGUUCCCAGAGCCACAGCAACAGGGAAUCUGAGCUGCGUCUGCGACCCACACCACAGCUCACAGCAAUGCCAGAUCCUUAACCCACUGAUCAAGGCCAGGGAUCGAACCUGCAACCUCAUGGUUCCUAGUCAGAUUCGUUAACCGCUGCGCCACAAUAGGAACUCCGGCCUUUGCUUCUCUUUGACACUUCCUGGAGAGAGUUAAUUGCAGGAGCUGAGCUCUGCAGGAGUAGAAAGAUGACCACUUCAAUCACUCCUGGGGUCAAGGAGAUCUCCACAAUUACACAUGUGCAAUAAGACCACUAGGGGUCAAAAAAGGAAGGGGCACCAGGCCAUAGUAAGUCCUAAUACAGUCCACAGGACCCCUUGCUCUGGAACCCAUCUUUGCCAAAAGAUGUGCAUGUGUAUUGGGGAGGGCUCUGGGUCUGGUCAGGUGUGAGAAAUAAAACAAGAUAAUUGGCCAAAGGAAAAGGAAGACCUGGAAGAACUGUCCUAUAUAAGUGAUUUAAAACACCUCUCUGGUGUGCUCCCCACGCAGGGGGUUGCCCACACCUGCAGUCCUCUUUAGGUGUGUAUUACUUCUUUGCUUCUUAAAUAAACUUCUUUUCUGUGUACUCUCCCAUAUGUGGUA